GGACUGUGGCUCAGUGAUAGAGUGCUCACCUGGCAUUUGUGAGGCACCGGGUUCGAUCCUCAGCACCA
rnacentral:tRNA from 1 species